GCCAGGGCAGGAUGGAGAUGGAUGAGGACCCGGAUAUCCUGCGCACCCAGGGGCAAGGCAACAUCAUCAUUACUAAGUAUGAGCAGGGACGCUGAGCUGGGGCAGCAGUGGCCAUCGAGCAUGAGCAUGUUGACAUCUGGAAAUUCACCGGUCGCCUCUGGGUUAUGUGCAAAGAUGUCAGGAGAUAAAACGCACUGCCAAGUGGCUGAAAAUACUCAGAGACUGGACAAAAUAUAAGAACAGCAGGAAGGUAACAUAACAGCUGGGACUGGUGGCUCAGACCUGUAAUCUCAGCACUUCAGGAGGCCGAGGUGGGCGGAUCACCUGAGG